rnacentral:rRNA from 1 species
AAUGAACGCUGGCGGCGCGCCUAAUACAUGCAAGUCGAGCGAGAAGACGUAGCAAUACGUUUGUAAAGCGGCGAACGGGUGAGGAAUACAUGGGUAACCUACCCUCGAGUGGGGAAUAACUAGCCGAAAGGUUAGCUAAUACCGCGUACGCUUCUUGGACUUCGGUUCAGGGAGGAAAGCGAUACCGUGGGUAUCGCGCUCUUGGAUGGGCUCAUGUCCUAUCAGCUUGUUGGUGAGGUAACGGCUCACCAAGGCUUUGACGGGUAGCUGGUCUGAGAGGACGAUCAGCCACACUGGCACUGCGACACGGGCCAGACUCCUACGGGAGGCAGCAGUAAGGAAUAUUGCGCAAUGGGCGAAAGCCUGACGCAGCGACGCCGCGUGGGGGAUGAAGGUCUUCGGAUUGUAAACCCCUUUCGGGAGGGAAGAUGGAACGAGCAAUCGUUCGGACGGUACCUCCAGAAGCAGCCACGGCUAACUUCGU